ACUCAGCUUUUAGCACAAAAUUGCUGUCUAUAGAAGUGGUGUCAACCCUUCCUUUCACCUGCAUGCAAAAGUGAAGGGAGACAGGGCUAUGAUCAGCCAAUCUGGUUAUUAACUCCAGGCGUCUCACUUCAAAGGUGACUGAGAUGCACCAACUGUCCCAGGGAUGUGUGAAAAGUUUGCUCUGAGGAGCUUUGUGGCCAAUAAUAAAUAAAUUGGAUUUGAGAACACAGCUUUGAAAGUUAAUGAAGGUUUCCCAGGGCCAUAAGAAUAUGAGCUGUGAAUCUAGUCCCUUGAAUUAGCAUUUUGUAACCAUUGUUUUAAAUGCUACUGUCAAAUUUUAAAUAUAGUUUUUCUGACAACAGUAAGUUAUAGAAAGGGAAAUCUUGCCUUUGACUUUAAAGCAAUUAAAUAUUCACCUCUAAAAUUCUAAAUCUGUUUCCACAGUCUUAAGGUCUGUUUGGUUGAAUCAGCUAAAAACUUGCACUUCUUCACAUACUGAACUCCAGAAGAGCUUAAGUGCUUUUUUGGUACCAAGUGCCUUAUAGAUACAUAAGAUUCAGAGAAGAGGUAAAAGUUCACAGUUUGGAGGGUCUCUAAAAGUUUUCAUGCAAUUGGCAGCUCAGCCUAUUUUAAGAAAAGACAUUUUGUUGCUUUCUGAUGCCAAUGCUUAUCAUUAUCUUUAUCAUUAAUUCCACUUUUCAUUUAUCAUCCAAAUCAGGCAAUCAAACCAGGAAAUUUUAUCCUUCUCUUCACCUCCCUUUAAAAAAGUAUUUGGUGACUCCUUGUUAACUCAUCUAUUUUCAAAUGCCAUGAUUCACUUCGCCAUCCAACUCUAUCUCCUGAGAAUGCAUACAAUAGUGAAUAAUGGCAGAAAAUAAUUGAGGCUUUUUAUUACAGACAAUAUUGGCCCUUGUCAUAGUAUUUUUUAAAUGAUCACUUUUUUAGUUUUCUAAAUUGUAAAACGAUUAGAUACAAAUCCAGAAUGAGAAUUCUGCCCUUGCUUUUCAGUUCAUCUACUCUGCACUCAUCCUCUUUGUAAAAAACAACCAUCCCAAAGGAACCCCAGACCAUAUUGUUCUUCCCUGUUCCUGUCAGUAAGUGAUUCAGGAAGCUUCCUUGAAGCAUGGGGUUUUCUACUUUAUUAUCCCCACUGCCGAAUACGAUACACAUGGAUUGUCAAAAAUCUGAAUGCAAUAAAAGGAACAGCAAUCCAUCUAUAAUGAAUAUAAUUUAGUCCUUCAGGAUGUAGAAUUUGCAGUUGUGCAGACCUCCAUUAUGAACAUCAAUGAUAAUUACGCUGUCACUAUAAAAAAUAUAGGAAAUGGACUGAAACAGCCUUCCUCCUGUAAUACUCUGCACGUUGUGUGAUAAAAGGAAUGCUUUCUAUCACUUGCUUACUUUUCUCUUUCUUAUAGAGGGGAAGGAGGUAAGGGGAUGAGGAGAGGGAGAUGAUGAGGGGAUGGUUGAUGGGUAUCAGGGGGACAUAGUUCUUUAUUUUCUAAAGGUAUUACAACAUAUAAGAAAUUGUGGCAUUAAUCAGCCUCCACCAGCAUCCACCACAAAUGAAAUCAGAGGCAGGGAAAGAGAGUGGGAGGGGCAAUGAGACAAGUUACAUGGUCUCAGUGGUGGACAAUGCCAACUUGUUCUCUUCUUUCCUAGGGAGCUCAAGUUAAACAAUACAUGGAAGACUCCUGAGCUUAGUCACCAAGUCAUGACUUGACCAUCAAUCUGAUCUCUCUCAUUUCCUUCCACCCCACGGGGAGUCCUCACAUCCCUUGGAAAUUUAUGCCUGCCUUGGGGGGCUCCGGUGCAGGGCCCCCUGUCCUUCUGAGUCACCCCCUGGCUCCCUGUCAGGCUGCUGAUUUGAUUCGCUUCCUGAGGAAUGUGGCAGGAGGUGAGCCAGUGUGGCAAGGCUUCUGUCCUCCGCAUCACCAGGUAGGGAGGAGAGAGCCAGCUCCACAGCUUCUGGUCCCACUUUCCUCUGGGUUAAUUCCUCCUCACUCUGUUUCAAAAUGUAAUUAGAGUUUAUCCACUCUGUUCCCAGCGUUACCACUUUCAGGAGCAGGUAAAUCAGGUAAUUCUCCUCACCAGCUGCCGCUUCCUGCUGAACAGAGUCCUCCUGGGAGGCUGCAUUGCCUGUCGAACGCCUGAUGAGAGGUGCUGCUUACAGCAAGUCCCGUUAAUAAAUAGCUCCUCCAGCUGAGACCAUUUGUCUGAGGGCUAUUUCCAUCAGUUACAACUGGUUCCUAAAAUAUUUCCACUGUAGUAUGCUAUAAUCUCUUAGGGCACCAGAAAAAAAAUUUUUUUAAUUAAAAAAAAAAAAAUCUCUGUAGGUUCUUUCGCCAGUAAGAGGGAGCCUCCCUCUAAAUGCACAAGACUCAGCAGGUCUGGCACAGCUAACCUUGAUCCUUCCUAGCUGGUGUCUUAUUGCUGCUUCUUGCCCAGCCUCCUUUCUGGUUUUAACCUGGCCUCCUCCUUUAUGUUCACUUAUUUCAUUACUUGAAAGAAAACAGCAGGACCUGGAAACUCUAGUCCAGUCGUGCUCCUGGACUCCUGUCCUGCCCUGCGGUCUCUUUUGAUCUAAAUGUCUUUCUCACUAGUACAAAUGUGGUCGCUAAGAAGCCUAGAGAAUCUGAAAUAAACCAAGGGACUAUAUGGGGACGUGUUUGUAAGUGUGUAAAGCCAGGUAUGUUCCCCACAUCACUGUCUGAUCUCAGGUUGUCUACAAGUGUAGAUGGUGCAGACUCUCUCCCCAAAACAGAGGUUUUACGGCCACAUGGAAGUGUGAGUUCCUGCAUUUAAUUACAACAUAUGGUGAGUUACAACGUGUUCUGGUGCUGAUUUUAACGCUUGUGAAGCACUUGGAGGAUUGUCCAUUCUUAGGUAUACAAUUGCCUCACGGCUGGAGAAGAGAUAGUGCCACAAGCUGGUUUCACAAUGAAAAGCCACUGCUGGAUGCUCUGGUUUAGGCUGGCCUGCUUUUCUUGGGCAAACACAACGUGCGCUCCAGUCUGUCUUUGUAAUACCAUGUGAGAUAGACUGCUCUUUCAUCUGUUAUUUUUUGCUUUCUCAGCUGGCUCUUGAAAAACAGUCAAAUUUUAAAAGAAAGGGAGUUUAAAUUGGCAAAGGGCCAUAGACCAUUCAGGUGGAGAGGGCAUGCAUGCAUUCUAUUACAUGUGCCUAUACAAUAGUAUACAUCUCAUAUACAUAUUUUUAUUUGAAUUCUUAUGAGUGACUACCUUUAUCUUGAAUCUCCUUAAUUCAUUCAUUAAAAUGCUAGCACCUACAAUAUGCCAAACACCUAGGGUUUUAAAUUUCAUAUUUUGUAAUUGUUUUUCUCACAUUGCAUAUUUCAUAUUGUGUACUUAAAAACAUAUUUUGAGUUUGUGUUUACAUGCUAUUUUCAAGCUGAACCAUUUUGAGGAACUCCAAGAUACAACUUAUAUUUUCAUUUGAAAUUACAAUGAUUUUCAACUCACUUGAAAUAUUAGUUUUUUAAUUGAAUUGAUAUGUUUUGGAGACUAAUUUUAUGUGAUAAUUAAAAUGUUUCCUUCAUACACACUGCAGCAUAUUGUGUUGCUAUGGAUUCAUUUCUCACAUUUACUACCUAGUCCUGGGGGAAGAAAAAAAGAAAGAAAUCAAGCACAAAGUGUUUCUAGUCUCAAUCAGAUCUAAUGUCUCUUCAGUUCUGAUUCUGUUUCCUAUUAAAACCAGAAGAUGUGUUUUGGAAGGACAUGACUGAUCUCCAUGAUGUCAACUUCAAAAAUCAAUCAGGCUAAAAACCAUUCCCCAUUUAGAGGAAUGAGAGCUCCGAGAAAAUGCCUGAUUUCUGGGCGGCAGCAGUGAAGGUACAUCAUGAGCCAGAGAUUUGUUUUGUUAAUGCCAGAAAUAGGGAAGUGCUCAAAAAAUGAUGAGAGCAUAUUAAAAGGACACAGAGGCUAGCUUGAAUGAGUUCCCACUUGCCAAAUCUAGGACAACUGGGGCAUGAGAGAGAGAAAAAAAAAUUAAAAAGAGAGAAGAGCAUUAAUGGAAAAUAAUUGACUAAAAACAAGGAUUCAUGGAUUGAAACUGCUAAUAAAUAAAUAAGGAAGAAAAUAUAGUUGUUCCUUACUGCCUGGUAGAUAGAGAAGGCUAAUAGAUAAAUAAAAUGUAAAUUACUAUUUCGCAACCAUCCUAGUAAAACCAAUUCAAAUUAGAAUGGUGAAUAGGCCAAAUCUAGGGGAGGAAAAUUUGAUGAGGAACAAAAUAUUUACAUAGUUUCAAACUAUGUCUUCACAGACUAAUAAUUAUAAAAGGGAAAUAGUAUACAGUGGAGAAAUGGGAUAAGGUCUCUAAAAAGUGGAUUAAAAUCACCAUCAAGAGACAAAGUUGCAUUCAGUGCCUCCAAAUGUGAAACCAUGAGACACAUUAUCAGUCAUGUAGCAAUCCAACCAAAAAUGGGUGUAAUCUGAGUUUAAUCACCAGGAAACAACAGAGAAAGCCCAAAUCUUACUCAGGAUAUUCAAUGAAAUAAUUGCCCUGUAUUCAUGAGAAAUGUCAAUAGUAUGAAAGACAGAGGAAGGCUGAGGAACAGUUCCAAAUUAAAUCAGACGAAAAAGACCUGACAGCAAAAUGCAAUAUGUCAUCCUAGACAAUAUUCUGAAUUGGGAAAAAAAAUUAAAAAGGAUAUUAUUUGUACCACUGAUAAGAAAUGUAGACUUCAGGGAGUUCCUGUUUUGGCACAGAGGAUACAAGUAUUCAUGAGGAUACGGGUUUGAUCCCUGGCCUCACUCAGUGGGUUGGGGAUCCGGCAGAGCUGUGCUGUGGUGUAGGCUGCAGACUCAGUUCAGAUCCCACAUUGCUGUGGCUGUGGUGUAGGCCAGCAGCUGUAGUUCCAAUUUGACCUCUAGCCUAGGAACUUCCAUAU
rnacentral:lncRNA from 1 species